UACGUAGGUGGCGAGCGUUGUCCGGAUUUAUUGGGUUUAAAGGGUGCGUAGGUGGGUUGGUAAGUCAGUGGUGAAAUCUCCGGGCUUAACCUGGAAACUGCCAUUGAUACUAUCAAUCUUGAAUACCUUGGAGGUGAGCGGAAUAUGUCAUGUAGCGGUGAAAUGCUUAGAUAUGACAUAGAACACCAAUUGCGAAGGCAGCUCACUACACGGUCAUUGACACUGAGGCACGAAAGCGUGGGGAUCAAACAGG
rnacentral:rRNA from 1 species